UGUUUUCUAUGUAUUUAAGUAUUUAUAUAUUAUAUUAUAUUAUAUAUAUCGUUGUCUAAGUACCCACAAAACAAGCCUUAUUGAGCUUACUGUGGGACUUAGUCAAUUUGUGUAAUGUCCUAUAAUAUUUAUUA